ACCACGGCUCGCCUCGCUGCGGGAGGGUGGCAUCAACGGAGACUGCAGUGCACCAGAGUGCCCCCACAUCACCCAACCAACCAGCAGAGAUCCUCCUUCCCAAGAAACAGAUAAAGAAACUGAGGCCCAGGAAGGCUAAGAGUCCUGCCAGGAUUAUUCACCUUUCAAGGCAAAGUACUCCAGGCCAUGGGGAGUCCCUGAAGACUCGAUGAACUGCAGUGGCCACAUCAGGAGGUUGCAGGUUAACCAGAACUCACCGACACAGCAGGAGAGCAGCUUGGAACCUGCAACCUAGCCAAAACCUAGUGCCUUGGAUUGGGGGAGAAAACAUGCAGCCAUUCCUCUCUCUCUGCUGGCUAGAGGGGAUUCUGGCUUUUCCUGCCAGAGCCACCCCUUUCCCUCCUCCUAAAGUUGAUGGUGGUUCUUUAAGGAAAGGGAGAAGUGCACGGUGUGAUAGGGCAGGAAGAGAAGAAAACGGAGGAGAGGAGGGGACUUUCCCAUAAGCAGGCAGAAGAAAAGGCAGCUGUGGUGUGUGAUGGACAUGGAUGCAGUGGUGUCCAAUGUGGGGUCAGCCCUAGAGGAGAGACAGAGAGAGAGACAGAAAAGUGAGAGAGUCCUGACCCUUAUUAUUAACAUGGGAUCUGCCUGCAAAUGCUGUUUAGGGUCAUCGCCUCUUCCUGUACUGCUAUUUUUGAGAGUGAUGCUCCUGAGCCCCACGACCCAGUCAAAUUUGAUGUCCCUUUGAGCCAGAUUCAGUGCUGGGAGUCCAGUGUGAUCUGCCUGGAUCUUGCUGCAUUGAGAACAGGCCAGAUCUUGACCCCAAUACAGGGGCUGGAUAUGAACAGGCAACAGCUGGGUUUCUGAGUCAGAAAGACUUGGUUAAUUGCUAAUUGCUUAGGCAAGUAAUUUAAUUUUUGUUGCGUCAGAUUCCUCAGCUACAAAAUGCACAUGACAGUACUUAUUCCUCCAGGUUGUGGGGAAAAUGGAGAUUCUAAGCACGAUGUCCAUUUCACAGAAAGAUACCAAUUUGGUGGCUUAUUUCCUUUCUACCUUCAGAAGUGGCUAUCCCUGCCACCCAAACAGACCCUUGACUCUCAAGUGGACGGGGUCCCAUUUGCACAGGGGGAGACCUUACAGCCUACGUUGAGUCUAUACUUACCACUUAGUGAGCAUGGUAUCCACUCAGGGGCCUCUGUGGGCAUCUGUCUCCUCUGCAGCAUCUUUCCUCCCCACUGCUGGGUCUGCACAUGACCCCCUCCUUGGGUUAGGCCUCUGAUCAGUGAUGACCUUGGUAUGGUGGUAAUGGUCAGUCUUGGCAUCAAAUGAGCCAGUUUAUAUCAUCAGCUAUUCAAUAAAAUACUAAUCUAGGUGUCACC
ensembl:lncRNA novel transcript